rnacentral:rRNA from 1 species
UUCAUCGUCAGCUCAUUUUGUAUAUGUAUGAAUUAUGAUGCGAGUUACUCNUUGUAGUAUUGCUUGUACAUAUUUAUACAUUUAUUUGCAAGAUGUUGUCGGCGUGCACUUCUCCCCUAGUAGGACGUCGCGACCCGUUGGGUGUCGGUCUACGACCCAGGUNGGGAGACUUNUAAUNUUUUUAUAAUAUUAAAGACCCUUGGUGUUUUCUGACCGGCUGCCCGGCGGUAUUCGUACGGUAUUAAGCCGCAUUUANUNUUGCGUCCAUGUCCAUCGCAAGCGAGGCUAAUCUCUGGCAGUACGGACCUAGUGCCGUCGCUGGAAUUGGCCAGCUGUUGGUUGUAUGGAAUUCUAGGACUG